CGGCGUGCCUAAUACAUGCAAGUAGAACGCUGAAGAGAGGAGCUUGCUCUUCUUGGAUGAGUUGCGAACGGGUGAGUAACGCGUAGGUAACCUGCCUUGUAGCGGGGGAUAACUAUUGGAAACGAUAGCUAAUACCGCAUAACAAUGGAUGACUCAUGUCAUUUAUUUGAAAGGGGCAAUUGCUCCACUACAAGAUGGACCUGCGUUGUAUUAGCUAGUAGGUGAGGUAACGGCUCACCUAGGCGACGAUACAUAGCCGACCUGAGAGGGUGAUCGGCCACACUGGGACUGAGACACGGCCCAGACUCCUACGGGAGGCAGCAGUAGGGAAUUUUCGGCAAUGGGGGAAACCCUGACCGAGCAACGCCGCGUGAAGGAAGAAGUAAUUCGUUAUGUAAACUUCUGUCAUAGAGGAAGAACGGUGGAUAUAGGGAAUGAUAUCCAAGUGACGGUACUCUAUAAGAAAGCCACGGCUAACUACGUGCCAGCAGCCGCGGUAAUACGUAGGUGGCGAGCGUUAUCCGGAAUUAUUGGGCGUAAAGAGGGAGCAGGCGGCACUAAGGGUCUGUGGUGAAAGAUCGAAGCUUAACUUCGGUAAGCCAUGGAAACCGUAGAGCUAGAGUGUGUGAGAGGAUCGUGGAAUUCCAUGUGUAGCGGUGAAAUGCGUAGAUAUAUGGAGGAACACCAGUGGCGAAGGCGACGAUCUGGCGCAUAACUGACGCUCAGUCCCGAAAGCGUGGGGAGCAAAUAGGAUUAGAUACCCUAGUAGUCCACGCCGUAAACGAUGAGUACUAAGUGUUGGGAGUCAAAUCUCAGUGCUGCAGUUAACGCAAUAAGUACUCCGCCUGAGUAGUACGUUCGCAAGAAUGAAACUCAAAGGAAUUGACGGGGGCCCGCACAAGCGGUGGAGCAUGUGGUUUAAUUCGAAGCAACGCGAAGAACCUUACCAAGUCUUGACAUCCCUCUGACCGAUUCUUAACCGAGUCUUUCCUUCGGGACAGGGGAGACAGGUGGUGCAUGGUUGUCGUCAGCUCGUGUCGUGAGAUGUUGGGUUAAGUCCCGCAACGAGCGCAACCCUUAUCUUCAGUAGCCAGCAUAUAGGAUGGGCACUCUGGAGAGACUGCCAGGGAUAACCUGGAGGAAGGUGGGGAUGACGUCAAAUCAUCAUGCCCCUUAUGAUUUGGGCUACACACGUGCUACAAUGGCGUAAACAAAGGGAAGCGAGCACGCGAGUGUGAGCAAAUCUCAAAAAUAACGUCUCAGUUCGGAUUGUAGUCUGCAACUCGACUACAUGAAGCUGGAAUCGCUAGUAAUCGCGGAUCAGAAUGUCGCGGUGAAUACGUUCCCGGGUCUUGUACACACCGCCCGUCACACCAUGGGAGUCAGUAACGCCCGAAGUCAGUGACCUAACUGCAAAGAAGGAGCUGCCGAAGGCGGGACCGAUGACUGGGGUGAAGUCGUAACAAGGUAGCCGUAUCGGAAGGUGCGGCUG
rnacentral:rRNA from 1 species